rnacentral:lncRNA from 10 species
CGGAGGCAGCGUGCAGGGCUGGCGCUCACGCAGGCCGCCAGCACCCUGCGCUCCACCCCACCCUGCUCCCUAAUGAGAAGAGAGGAGCUGAACCCAGACAGCCGCUCCCUGUUGACGCCUUAGGCGUUUCAAAACUAGACUGGCCGGAGCCGAUGGAAUGUCUUGGCCAUCCAUUUCUCUAAGACUCAAUGAUAUGUCCUAGAAGAUCUUUGGCCAAAUGUCAGACUUAUAUCUUACAGAUCCCAGAGUAGGGAGUAAGUACUACAGCUUCUAAAAUGCUCUCACUCACAUGCUUCAUCAAUGCAAAUGACAGUUCGAAAGACCAAGAGCUUUUGGAUUCUACUUGGACUUCUUUUGAAAGGAGACUUGGGCUCAUCCUGCUGGCCUCUGCCCUCUGCUAACCUCCCAGGACUCCUGACUGGGCCUAUGCUGGAUACCAACCAUACAAGAUGAAUGUCUUGCCAAGCUGGAUGUGGAAGUAUAUUUGGUCCUUUGAAGGUUAAUGAUCAAUCCAGACCACAAAUGGAUGACAGUCAAACACUGCCUUGGGUGGGCUAAUGGCUUGUGUUUCAGGACUGAGAACUCAUUAACAGUCCCCCGCCGCCUUGUCUGCUCCUAGCGAUUGGCCUCCACCUCCACUAACACUCAGCCCUUCCCUUGGCCCUUGGCUUUUUCUCUGCUUCAACCACAGGCUUUCUCUCUCUCUCUCUCUCUGAGCCUCGGCUUCUCUUAUAGACUCUAUCCCAUUCUCAUUCCAAGACACAGAACCCCUUCUUAUCUACCUGAAGCUAUAGUUGGUCAUUGGUAUCAUGGAAAACAGGAGCUGACUAUGCCUUAAAAAUCAUUUAUUGCAGUGAUUUUUAAACAAUGUUUAAAGGAGCCUUGAGAUUCCUUGGUGGCAAGCAACAGAGGCCACCGAAUAUGUGUAUGUAUGUGUGAUGAGUACUCAUAGCAGUGAAUAUUUGGAAAGCAGAGCCUCCAAAAGUCCCUUAUGCACACAUGCAUACUUAUCAAUCAGAACAAAGGACUGGUAUUUGUUUUAUAUAUUGGGGGUAAUUCAUUGCUUGAUUUUUUUUAAAAAAAGAUUCUGUUAUUUAAAGAAAAUAGUUUAAAUAUCACAGUGAUCCCAUCCUGCCCCUUCAUUAUCUGCAGGGGCGCCCCUGAGUGUCCCCAGGUGAGAUCUCCAUGCCUACAUUACUCUACACAGAAUAACUCUCUCCUGGUUCCAGUCCCAAAUAAAGAGGACAGAGCCUCAUGAGUCUAUCUGGGCCAAAGUGGGUUAUUGCCAAGAAUAACCUGGCAUCAGGGGAUUCAAACUCUUUGCCUUCAAGCUCUGGCAUUCCAGUAAGGGCUGACUUGGAACUGUCACAGAGAAACUGGGGGACAGUAAAUGCAGUCUAGCACUUGUUUGGAACUAGAGCAUGGCUCAAAAAUGAUCACAAUGAAUAAACUUUGCUAUCAGCUUUCUGUAAAUAAAUAUACACACAAUGCUAAAUCCUUUUGCAUUAGGACUUGAAUUUGAUUGUACAUUCUUGGAUACCUAAGAAUCUCCCAAUACUGCUCUAGCUUGUAACUUUUUUUUUCAGAAAGAGUGUUUCCUCAGAUGUCUAGAUGUCUGUAUAUAAGUGAACAUAAUUACUAUUUUUAAGAGGAGGGUGCCUAUGUUCUUCAUGCUUAUAAUACCCCCAAGAAACUUACAGAGAACACUAUGCAUGAGAUUAAAU